rnacentral:lncRNA from 1 species
AUGUUUUCUGAGGCACCCCUCAUGUCGAACCAGGGCAGGGGUGGAGAAGAGUUUGAGGAGUUAGCCAGACCAGAACCUCCACCACAGAAGCCUGUCCACAGACCAGGUAAAGAAAUGUACACUCAGGAGAGAAGGCGGACCCUCCAGGAGAGGACAAUGCCUUCUCAACAGGAACCUCCAGUUAGGCAGCAAGUCCCCAAGAUGAUGCCCAGAGAACCCAGUCUCCCUGCCAGAAGCAUGUCUCUGCGAAAAGCUAUGUCUCUCCAGAACUUGAGCCAGAUAGAGACACCCUGGGAAGGGGUCACCCUCAACCGCUGUCUGUUCAUAGCCAUCACCAUCCUGCUGGUCAGCACUGUCUUUCAGAAACUACACGAAACCAUAAAAGGUGGACGGGGUGUGGAGGAAGAGGAGUAUGACAUUGCACUGACUGUGAGGCGCUCCGCGCUGAGACACAAAGUCCAACCACAGGAGCCUGAGACGUCUCUGUAUGAGGUGCUCUUCUGGUGGUUACCUGACAUUGAUGACGAUAAUGAAGAAGAAGCUGAUGAAGGGGAAACCAAACAAGGUCGAGUGAAGAAAAGGGUUCGAGAGAGGUCGCUGAAGGGCCUGAGAGGCAAUGGAACACCAGAGAGAAAACUUGUAAAAGGCAGAGAGGGGAAGACAAAAGACAAGAGGGCCAAGAGAGAGAGGGAUGAAGAAACUAAGGGAAAGAAAAAGGGAAAACAGGCCAAGCUGAGAGAUGUGGAAAACAUGGAUGAGGAAGAGGAAAUAAAUGAAGGGGAAGAUGAGGUAAAACCCAAGAAGCUACAAAAGGUUAUGAAGUCAAAAGCCAGCAAAUCUUAA